CGUAGGGUGCGAGCGUUAAUCGGAAUUACUGGGCGUAAAGCGUGCGCAGGCGGUUUGUUAAGAUAGGCGUGAAAUCCCCGGGCUCAACCUGGGAACUGCGCUUAUGACUGGCAAGCUAGAGUACGGCAGAGGGGGUGGAAUUCCACGUGUAGCAGUGAAAUGCGUAGAGAUGUGGAGGAACACCAAUGGCGAAGGCAGCCCCCUGGGUCGAUACUGACGCUCAUGCACGAAAGCGUGGGUAACAAACAGGAUUAGAUACCCUGGUAGUCCACGCCCUAAACGAUGUCAACUAGGUGUUGGGAGGGUAAAACCUUUUAGUACCGGAGCUAACGCGUGAAGUUGACCGCCUGGGGAGUACGGCCGCAAGGUUA
rnacentral:rRNA from 1 species